AGUGAACGCUGGCGGUAGGCCUAACACAUGCAAGUCGAACGGCAGCACAGUAAGAGCUUGCUCUUACGGGUGGCGAGUGGCGGACGGGUGAGGAAUACAUCGGAAUCUACUUUUUCGUGGGGGAUAACGGAGGGAAACUUACGCUAAUACCGCAUACGACCUACGGGUGAAAGCAGGGGAUCUUCGGACCUUGCGCGAUUGAAUGAGCCGCUGUCGGGUUAGCUAGUUGGCGGGGGAAAGGCCCAGCAAGGCGACGAUCCGUAGCUCGUCUGAGAGGAUGAUAAGCCACACUGGAACGUAGCCACGGUCCAGACUCCUACGGGAGGCAGCAGUGGGGAAUAUUGGACAAUGGGCGCAAGCCUGAUCCAGCCAUACCGCGUGGGUGAAGAAGGCCUUCGGGUUGUAAAGCCCUUUUGUUGGGAAAGAAAAGCAGCAGGUUAAUACCCCGCUGUUCUGACGGUACCCAAAGAAUAAGCACCGGCUAACUUCGUG
rnacentral:rRNA from 1 species